GGCUGGUAUCCAGAGUACCACGAGACACGUGAAACCUUGUGGGAAGCAGGGUGGACCACCAUCCAAGGCAAAAUACUACGGAACGACCGAUAGCGCAUAGUACCGUGAGGGAAAGGUGAAAAGAACCGCGGGAGCGGAGUGAAAUAGAACCUGAAACCGUAUGUCUACAAGCAGUCGAAGCACUUUAUAUGUGCGACGGCGUGCCUAUUGAAGAAUGAACCGGCGAGUUAAUUUUAGAGGCGAGGUUAAGCGGGAGACGCGGAGCCGAAGCGAGAGCGAGUCUGAAUAGGGCGCAAGUCUCUGGGAUUAGACCCGAAACCACAGUGAUCUAUGCAUGGCCAGGUUGAAGCUCAGGUAAAAAUGAGUGGAGGACCGAACCCGUGAGUGUUGAAAAACUUUGGGAUGAGCUGUGCAUAGGGGUGAAAUGCCAAUCGAACGUGGAGAUAGCUGGUUCUCCCCGAAAUAGCUUUAGGGCUAGCCUCAGGUAACACAUGGAGACGGUAGAGCACUGAUCGGGUAAGGGAGCGUAAAGCUUACCGAGCCUAGUCAAACUGCGAAUGGCUUCAUGAGAAGAGCCUGGGAGUCAGAAUGCGAGUGAUAAGACCCGUAUUCAAAAGGGAAACAGCCCAGAUCGCCGACUAAGGUCCCAAAUGCUGUACUAAGUGGAAAAGGAUGUAGGACUUCCAAAACAACCAGGAUGUUGGCUCAGAAGCAGCCACCAUUCAAAGAGUGCGUAAUAGCUCACUGGUCGAGAGGCCCUGCGCCGAAAAUAUCCGGGGCUCAAGUACAGAACCGAAGUCGCGGGAUGCGCAAGCAUCGGUAGGGGAGCGUUCCAAGCAGGUUGAAGGCAGACCGAAAGGACGGCUGGACAGCUUGGAAGUGAGAAUGCUGGUAUGAGUAGCGAAACGAUCCGUGAGAAUCGGAUCCACCGAAAGCCUAAGGGAUCCUGAGCAACGCUCGUCGUCUCAGGGUAAGUCGGGACCUAAGCCGAGGCAUAAAGCAUAGGCGAUGGACAACAGGCGAAAAUUCCUGUACUGCAUGAUGUUGUUUGAGGAUGGAGUGACACAGCAAGGAGCUUGAGCGCGCGAUUGGAAAUGCGCGUCGAAGGCGGUAGGCUGGUAUAGAGGCAAAUCCCUGUACCAAGGCCGAGAACUGAUAGAUAGGAGCGUACUUCGGUACAAUCCGAAUUCAAGCGUACUACACUGUCGAGAAAAGCUUCUAACGAGACAUCAUGUACCCGUACCAAAACCGACACAGGUAGGCGGGGAGAGAAUCCUAAGGUGCGCGGGAAAACCCUCGUUAAGGAACUCGGCAAAAUGCAUCCGUAACUUCGGGAGAAGGAUGGCCGGAGCUGGUGAAGACCCUUGCGGUUGGAGCUGGAGCCGGCGGCAGAAGAGAAGCCCAAGCGACUGUUUACCACAAACACAGGUGCCUGCUAAAGAGAAAUCUGACGUAUAGGUGCUGACACCUGCCCGGUGCUGGAAGGUUAAGAGGAGAGGUUAUUCGCAAGAAGAAGCUUUGAAUUGAAGCCCCAGUAAACGGCGGCCGUAACUAUAACGGUCCUAAGGUAGCGAAAUUCCUUGUCGGGUAAGUUCCGACCCGCACGAAAGGUGUAACGACUUGGGCACUGUCUCAACGAGGGACCCGGUGAAAUUGAAAUACCUGUGAAGAUGCAGGUUACCCGCGACUGGACAGAAAGACCCCAUGGAGCUUUACUGCAGCCUGACAUUGAUUUUUGGCAUGUAACGUACAGGAUAGUUGGGAGACGGAGAAGAUAGGCCCCCAGGCUUAUCGGAGUCGCUGUUGGGAUACCAACCUUUAUGUGCUAGGGAUCUAACUCGAGAAGUAACGAAGCUGAGGACAGUAUCAGGUGGGCAGUUUGACUGGGGCGGUCGCCUCCGAAAGAGUAACGGAGGCGUCCAAAGGUUCCCUCAGCGCGGACAGAAAUCGCGCGAAGAGUAUAAAGGCAGAAGGGAGCUUGACUGCGAGACAUACAGGUCGAGCAGGUACGAAAGUAGGGCUUAGUGAUCCGGUGGAAUGAGAGUGGAAUUGCCAUCGCUCAACGGAUAAAAGCUACCCUGGGGAUAACAGGCUAAUCUCUCCCAAGAGUCCAUAUCGACGGGGAGGUUUGGCACCUCGAUGUCGGCUCAUCACAUCCUGGGGCUGAAGCAGGUCCCAAGGGUUGGGCUGUUCGCCCAUUAAAGUGGUACGUGAGCUGGGUUCAGAACGUCGUGAGACAGUUCGGUCCAUAUCCAUCGCGGGCGUAAGAUACAUGAGGGAGACUGCUCCUAGUACGAGAGGACCGGAGUGGACGGACCGCCGGUGUACCAGUUGUUUCGCCAGAAGCACAGCUGGGUAGCUGCGUCCGGAAGGGAUAAACGCUGAAAGCAUCUAAGCGUGAAGCCCGUCCCGAGAUGAAGUAUCUCAUAGCACAAGCUAGUAAGACACCUUGAAGAAGACAAGGUUGAUAGGGUAGAUGUGGGAGUGCCGCAAGGCAUGAAGCUGACUACUACUAAUAUGUCGAGGGCUUAACUAG
rnacentral:rRNA from 1 species